GUUGACCAGCAACCCUAUUCAUUUUAUGACAUAUGAAAGCUACAGUCAAAGAUGACUACUAGAUCACUAAAAAGACGAUAACACGGGUGAUUGAUGAAUUCACCCUUUAUAACAUUACUCCCCCUCGAGGAAAGAGUCGUCCCGACUCGUAUAAAACGAAACAAUUGUAAAAGUGUUCUAGUAGCAGGUGCUCGUAGAUGGGCUAUGGCCCUAGUUUUUAUUUAAAAACAUCUGGAAUUCGCUAACGGUCUCAAGGGAAACCAUAGAAACCCUUGAGCAGAUGCCCGAGCACUAAAUUCAAAACCCCAAAAAUCAUUAUGUUCAGUGUUUUUCACAAAGGUGAGUGUAAAGGGUAAGUUGAUGAGUUCUUCAUGAGAUUCCUUGGCCGAAGACACAUUGGAACAUUGGAACACCUCGAAGAAGGAACUCGAGAACAGAUCGCGCCAUGAUGCUUCGGAAGGGCAGGAGACAGAAGGGAUCCCAGAGGAAGAGAUUUUCUGGCGUUCAAAGUUCUUGCGGGGAUCAAGACAAGGACAGGUGAACCGGCCCCGGGAUUUCCUCCGGACACAGCACACCCUAGAGUUGGAGGACAAAUUGAGAGGAAGCGGAUGAUUCCCAAUUCGCUAAGCAAAUUUGGGGGGAAAAUACGCGAUUGAUUGGAUUUAUAACUCAUUCAAUAGAAAGAAAAGGAACGAUCUUAUCUGAAUAUCCGGAGAACCCAGGCUAAGACCGGACAAAUAGCACAGCUGGCGGUAUCAUCGGCAACAGGUAAAGGCGGCAGAUUCGUCGGGAAAAAUCUAUAAAAACUCAAAGAAACUGACAUAUUGGUUAGAAAAAUAAGAGAGGAUCGAUCAAUCGCUCACGACUUCAUCCAAGCGCAGAACCGAAGCACUCUUCAAGCCAAAGAAAUCGAUGUAUCAAAAUUUCCCGUAUCGAACAACAUCGAACUAACCUUAACCUGUCAAUGAACUUUCUAACCUUCAGAGAGCUACAAAAACGCCGCCCUUGACUGAUAAGGAGCUCAGCGAUCCAGAUGAACGACUUUGGAUUUGGUACGAGGGGAACGUCUAAUUCUGAAAACAACAUCGUUAAUCCGAUCAACAAUAAAAUAAGGACCUUCCCAAUUACUCUGGAAUUCGGGACAAUGCCCUUGUUGUCGACGAGGUUGAAAUAACCAAACGGAAUCUCCCUUUUUAAAUUUUAAAUUUCUAGAUCUGAUGUCAUAACGAUCCUUAGUCUUAUCGGAGGCCAUACGAAUUCUUUCCCUAGCAAAUUCAUGAACCUCGUCCAAUUUUUGACGGAAAACCGAAUUAAAAAUCACCUGGGACGAAGCCACGGAAGGAUUGACGCCCUUUUCUAAAUCUAACGGAAGUCGAAGAUCCCGACCUGUCAACAUCAUAGCUGGAGAAAAACCGGUAGUGUCGUGAAUUGCAGAGCGAUACGAUAAAAGAAAUAAGGGAAUCCACUCAUCCCAAUCUUUCUGAUCCUGAUCAACGAAAGAAGAAAGAUAACGAAGAAGCGUCCUAUUCAAUCUUUCUAUCAUUCCAUUAGACUGCGGAUGCUAAGCGGUGAGGAGCUCCGUAACGAUAAACGAAUUCACGAACGAAAGCUCGAGCAACGGUGCUAGCUUCUUGAUUCGGAAUUGGGACUACUUCUAACCACUUUGUAAAAUAAUCUGCUAUCACCUGGGCAUACCGAUAUCCUGACCUAGAAGGAGGAAGAAGGCCUAGGAUAUCCAUUGCGACUCUUUCAAAUGGAGCUCCUACGUUAUAUAUUUGAAGAGAACUCUUCCCUUUUUCACGAGGUCCUUUCUUGGCUAAACAAACCGUUCAAUUUCUGCACCAAUUUUCAACGUCAGCUCGGCAGAACCAGAAGCUGCAAACGUACCGACCUGGAGUCAGGUGAUUCCCAUUUCCUAUAAAGCAACUGAUCGAGGAGAAACAAGGAGUCCCACUGCGCCCAGUAAAUUUUCAAAGACUGACUCAUAGAAGAUACUUCUUCCCACUGAGGCCAGACUCCUCAGGAUUUCCAAUUCCGAACUAGGAGGAGAUCUGAAUCUUUCUCCUGGGCGAUGAUCCAGUCUUCUUUAUUUUCAACGAGAGAAAUUUGACGAACGUUAAGCGA